GCUCCGCGUUGACGCAGAUCCUCUCCCCCCACGGACCGCUGCUGAACAGCACCACCUGACGGACACCUGAAGGAACUGCAACCGCCACCCUGCACGAACCUUCAGCACUGACACAGAAAAAACCCCAAAAGAAAUAAUUAUCAAAUGAACCUGCACCAGUGAGCAAACAGUCAGUGGAACAGACCCUGCUUUCUACAGAGCGUCACUCACACCUCACGCUGAAAGGUUUGCAUUUCUCUGCCUUCUUCUGCAGUAUGAACGGCUCGGCUGUGAACUCGUUUUCCUCAGCUUCAGGGUAUAUCUGGGCAAUAUGUGUUACUUAUAAUGACGGUGCUGGCAAUUUAGGAGCGCCUUCGGCAGGCCUCCUCAUCCUCUUCAUCACCGUCUCCUCUGAAGUCCUCAUUGGCGUCCCGUUGAACAGCUGGCUCAUCUGUCACAUCCUGAGGAAAAGGUCAAAGGAUGCCAGUAUCCUUCCUGCAGACUUCUUCCCCCUCAACCUGGCCAUCGCCCACCUGACUUUCUACCUGAUUGUACCUCUGAUGUUCAUUAAUCACUUUCUGUGGUGGAGUGAAAAAGUUUUGGGCUUGACGACCUACCUGACGGGGAUGGGGCUCAUUAUGAAGCCAGUGCUCCUCUGUCUGGUGUGUGUGGAGAGGUACAUUGCUGUGGUGCGACCCCUCGACUAUUUACGGUUCAAGUCUCCUCAGUACAAAUGGGGAUGUUUGGGGGUCUCUUGGUGCAUUUAUUUUGUCUUGGCAACCACUGCUUUUUUGGGGCGGUCUAUUGUGCCAGUAUGUGUGCUCUUCCUCCCUGUUUUAGUCAUAGAC